AUUGAACGCUGGCGGUAGGCCUAACACAUGCAAGUCGAACGCGAAAGUCCUUUGGGAUGAGUAGAGUGGCGGACGGGUGAGUAACGCGUAGGAAUCUAUCCUGUAGUGGGGGAUAACGUUUCGAAAGGAACGCUAAUACCGCAUACGCCCCAAGGGGGAAAGCGGGGGAUCUUCGGACCUCGUGCUAUAGGAGGAGCCUGCGUCGGAUUAGCUAGUUGGUGAGGUAAAGGCUCACCAAGGCGACGAUCCGUAGCUGGUCUGAGAGGAUGAUCAGCCACACCGGAACUGAGACACGGUCCGGACUCCUACGGGAGGCAGCAGUGGGGAAUAUUGCGCAAUGGGCGAAAGCCUGACGCAGCCAUACCGCGUGUGUGAAGAAGGCCUUCGGGUUGUAAAGCACUUUCAGUGGGGAGGAAAAGCUGGUGGCUAAUAUCCAUCGGCCGUGACGCUACCCACAGAAGAAGCACCGGCUAAUUCCGUGCCAGCAGCCGCAGUAAUAC
rnacentral:rRNA from 1 species